rnacentral:lncRNA from 1 species
GCUGGACUUCAUUUGCCUGAAGGAAGCAGUGCAUUUUUCUAACUUGUGUGAAGACAUUGUAUGGACUAGCUGUGGCCCUGGAGCCAUGUAUGUGGAUGGGGUCGGCCUCACUGAACCACUGAGACUGUGAGUGGGAGAGGGAUAGUCCUCUGAAUGAAAAUUAGGUUCACCUUCUAUAAGGGAGAAUGGAUGCGCAAGCAGAACUAUUGGAUAUACAUUACAGAAAGUAAUGCCAUUACUGUAAUUCUGAAUCUUGCCUUGUAGAGCAACUCGACUCUUUAAGUCUACUCAACUCAGCUCAACGCAAUCCAACAAUUAUUUUUUAUAGGCCAAAGUGUGUGUGUGUGUGUGUUUGCACACACACCUGUGUGCUGGGUAGGGAGGUGUUACCAAAAGAAAAGACCUACCUUCAAAAAGCAUAAAGUAUUCUGAUUUUAAGCCACGCCAACUAUGAAAGUUUUUCUUAAAUUCGACUCUGUUAUACCAAAUAAAUUAAAAAUUAUGCAAAAUUAAAGAUGGUAGCAUGUUUCUUUAGUUGCUUUUUAGCAAAAUAAUCUGUGUAUUUCAGUGAAUUACACAACUAUUAGAUGUUCAAAUACGAUUAUAUUCUGGUUAACUUACAAAAUUAGGAGUUGAAAAAUUAUUUACUUCAUUAUAUUUGUUAUAGAUAUAUCAGUCCUUAUUUCCUAACAGUCUGAAAUAGCAGCCAAAUAUAGCUCCUGUAGAAGGUCAUCUUAGGUUUUCAGGUGACUUUUAAUUACCACGUAGCUUUAAACUACUACUAGUAACUCAUCGUUUAAAAAAAUUAAAUUAGCCUUUUAUUUCUGUAAAGAAAACUCACCUUUACUCUCCCUUUACUGUCCUGUAGGAAUUUUAACAGGACAUGCAUUAACUUUAGACCUUAGGGAAAGCACAAAAUAAACAGCAAACUGAUAAUAUUAUCUCGCCAAAGUAAAACAAGGGAUGGAGGCGUGGGGAGAGACGGCGGGCGGUAACUAAGUGCCAAACGGGAUUUGUUUUUACUUAAACGUUUACAGAGCAUCCGCGAGAACUUCCUUCUAAGCUAAAUAUGUCAUCUAGCACCUGAAAAAAUUUAAGUCUGGUUCUUUCUGGAUAAAAGAAAGCGCACAGGAUUUAAGUAGCUGUAUAACAUUUCACAAGAUGAAUGUACCACAAAUUUUAAUCCUUCUAUUGUUGAUGGAUUUGGAUUAUUACCAACUUUUGGCCUUUGAGCCAGUCUAGGAUUCACGAUGUAACCAUGGAGCAGAUGCUUUGAGGUGAAUGACAUUUCCAGCAUUGAAGGACAGCAUAGACACGGAAAUACAUUUUAUGGCGUGCCAGUGGGUGUGGUGGGUCUCAGGGAUGCAAGGUGGGUGAGACUCCCUGUCUGUUCCUGAGGAGCUCUGGUGAGUGGGAAGGAGAAGGGAACACUCGAAGAGCAUGGCAGCCUUAAAGAGGCAGUGGGCUGAGGAGGCUCGCUCUGUGUUCAGAAAUUGGAACAGGGUUGUAGAAAGGAUGCUGUGUGGCUGUUAAAGUAAACUCCACCCAUUUUAGAAUUUUCCUUGGAAGCGGCCUCAAUGUCUAGAAAAGAGUGGGAAAAAUCUUUCCCCUUUUCAAAU